GAUGAACGCUGGCGGCGUGCCUAACACAUGCAAGUCGAACGGAGUCCAGCCUUUAAGACCUUCGGGUCAAAGAGGGGAAGACUGAGUGGCGGACGGGUGAGUAACACGUGGGCAACCUGGCUCAUAGAGGGGGAUAACAGAGAGAAAUUUCUGCUAAUACCGCAUAAGCACACACUGCCGCAUGGCAGAGGGUGAAAAGAGAAUCGCUAUGAGAUGGACCCGCGUCUGAUUAGCCAGUUGGCAGGGUAAGAGCCUACCAAAGCGACGAUCAGUAGCCGAUCUGAGAGGAUGAACGGCCACAUUGGGACUGAGACACGGCCCAAACUCCUACGGGAGGAAGCAGUGGGGGAUAUUGCACAAUGGGGGGAACCCUGAUGCAGCGACGCCGCGUGAGUGAAGAAGUAUUUCGGUAUGUAAAGCUCUAUCAGCAGGGAAGAUAAUGACAGUACCUGAAUAAGAAGCCCCGGCUAACUACGUG
rnacentral:rRNA from 1 species